GCGGGAGUAGCUUAAGAGGGAAAGCGAGAUUGAAGCGCGAGAAGCUGCGCGGGAACCAUACAUUCCAAGCGGGCGAAAAGAUCUAUUGCGGGUUCGAGACCUGCCUUCCGCACCA
rnacentral:tRNA from 1 species